AUGAUUACUGCUCUGCCUUUAUGAGACAGCUUCUAGACAGAAAGGAGCAGGAGGACCUCGGUGUACAUCUGCCAGGGCUGGGGAAUCCAGCCCUUGGGCAGGUGAGAGCAAACUCAAGAUAUGUAGACGCAGCUUCAGGCACCCAUGCUGUCCCAGAGGACGUGAAUCCUGGUGGGGAGAUGGUCCCUAUGGAGAUCUUCUGGAUGGGAAGCAAUGAAAGAUAAGCUAUUACCUGCCCACAAGGUUACCUCUCACAUUUAUCUCAAACACAGAGAGAGAGCACAGGCAGAAGAGAAGGGCAGAAGGAAAGAGAGAGAGAAUCUCAACCAGGCUCUAUGCUGUAGGCGGAGCCCAAUGUGGGGCUCAAUCCCACGACACUGCGAUCAUGACCUGAGCCCAAACUGAGUUGGACGCUUAACCGACUGAGUCAUCCAGGUGACCCUGGAGGGCACCAGUAGCUUUGGGUUCCUCUGCCGGCUCAAGAUCCUCUCUCUUUUGCUGCCUGGGUGCGGGGAGGGCUCCACUGAGCCAACUCCCCCCACAAAAGAAGGAAGAACAAUAGGCUUGUUGCCUUUUCUUCCAUAAAAAUGCUCCCUGAGGUUGAGCUGCCCGCAGUGCUUUCCAAAUGCCCCCUAAACAUCCUCCUCUUAGGACACACAGCACACUGGAUCGGGAGAUCCUCAAGACCAGGAACUGGACCCGUAAUAUCUCCGAGAAAGCAUGAUAUCUGGGCUGAAAAUGGCAGAUCCAACAAUUUUAAAAGAGUUUAUGCCCACGAUAUCCUAAGGCAAUGAGAAAUUUAUGUCAAGGAGAUUCGCACAACUGUAACCAUGAUCGGGAAUCUUCAAGGAAUCCUGGAGAAUGAAAGAAAUCCCCCCCCGCCCCCGCCCCGCCAACAGGAAAUUAGCAUAUUUGUUUGCCACUUUCAGAAAUAAAAAUUUUCCUUUGGUGAAUCUAGAAAACGCUA